AGUGAACGCUGGCGGUAGGCCUAACACAUGCAAGUCGAACGGCAGCACAGUAAGAGCUUGCUCUUACGGGUGGCGAGUGGCGGACGGGUGAGGAAUACAUCGGAAUCUACUUUUUCGUGGGGGAUAACGUAGGGAAACUUACGCUAAUACAGCAUACGACCUACGGGUGAAAGCAGGGGUUCUUCGGACCUUGCGCGAUUGAAUGAGCCGAUGUCGCAUUAGCUAGUUGGCGGGGUAAAGGCCCACCAAGGCGACGAUCCGUAGCUGGUCUGAGAGGAUGAUCAGCCACACUGGAACUGAGACACGGUCCAGACUCCUACGGGAGGCAGCAGUAGGGAAUAUUGGGCAAUGGGCGCAAGCCUGAUCCAGCCAUGCCGCGUGAGUGAAGAAGGUCUUCGGGUUGUAAAGCCCUUUUGUUGGGAAAGAAAAGCAGCAGGUGAAUACCCCGCUGUUCUGACGGUACCCAAAGAAUAAGCACCGGCUAACUUCGUG
rnacentral:rRNA from 1 species